rnacentral:lncRNA from 1 species
ACGUGAUCGAUUCGGUUUCCCGGAAGUGACUGCUGAGCCAGUCGAGCCUGGUCCAAGAGGAGGAAGGAUGGGGUGCAGAGUAUCCCGUCCUGGCCAGCGAUGAGCUCCAUUUCUAAAUCCUGUGGGAAUUCUUUGUUAUAAAACAGUUCCUGAUCUAAAGUUGAAAAGAGAUGGCUUAUGUAAGAGACAUUUUCUUCACGAAGUUGAUCGUUAGGAAGAGAGGUGACCACAAGAUACAGAAGGC